CGCGUAGGCGGCCUGGUAAGUCUGGAGUGAAAGUCCUGCUUUUAAGGUGGGAAUUGCUUUGGAUACUGCUGGGCUUGAGUGCAGGAGAGGUAAGUGGAAUUCCCGGUGUAGCGGUGAAAUGCGUAGAGAUCGGGAGGAACACCAGUGGCGAAGGCGACUUACUGGACUGUAACUGACGCUGAGGCGCGAAAGUGUGGGGAGCAAACA
rnacentral:rRNA from 1 species